GAUGAACGCUGGCGGCGUGCCUAAUACAUGCAAGUCGAGCGAACGGACGAGAAGCUUGCUUCUCUGAUGUUAGCGGCGGACGGGUGAGUAACACGUGGAUAACCUACCUAUAAGACUGGGAUAACUUCGGGAAACCGUAGCUAAUACCGGAUAAUAUUUUGAACCGCAUGGUUCAAAAGUGAAAGACGGUCUUGCUGUCACUUAUGGAUGGAUCCGCGCUGCAUUAGCUAGUUGGUAAGGUAACGGCUUACCAAGGCAACGAUGCAUAGCCGACCUGAGAGGGUGAUCGGCCACACUGGAACUGAGACACGGUCCAGACUCCUACGGGAGGCAGCAGUAGGGAAUCUUCCGCAAUGGGCGAAAGCCUGACGGAGCAACGCCGCGUGAGUGAUGAAGGUCUUCGGAUCGUAAAACUCUGUUAUUAGGGAAGAACAUAUGUGUAAGUAACUGUGCACAUCUUGACGGUACCUAAUCAGAAAGCCACGGCUAACUACGU
rnacentral:rRNA from 1 species